rnacentral:rRNA from 1 species
GAGUAACACGUGGGUAACCUGCCCAUAAGACUGGGAUAACUCCGGGAAACCGGGGCUAAUACCGGAUAACAUUUUGAACCGCAUGGUUCGAAAUUGAAAGGCGGCUUCGGCUGUCACUUAUGGAUGGACCCGCGUCGCAUUAGCUAGUUGGUGAGGUAACGGCUCACCAAGGCAACGAUGCGUAGCCGACCUGAGAGGGUGAUCGGCCACACUGGGACUGAGACACGGCCCAGACUCCUACGGGAGGCAGCAGUAGGGAAUCUUCCGCAAUGGACGAAAGUCUGACGGAGCAACGCCGCGUGAGUGAUGAAGGCUUUCGGGUCGUAAAACUCUGUUGUUAGGGAAGAACAAGUGCUAGUUGAAUAAGCUGGCACCUUGACGGUACCUAACCAGAAAGCCACGGCUAACUACGUGCCAGCAGCCGCGGUAAUACGUAGGUGGCAAGCGUUAUCCGGAAUUAUUGGGCGUAAAGCGCGCGCAGGUGGUUUCUUAAGUCUGAUGUGAAAGCCCACGGCUCAACCGUGGAGGGUCAUUGGAAACUGGGAGACUUGAGUGCA